rnacentral:rRNA from 1 species
AACGAACGCUGGCGGCAGGCUUAACACAUGCAAGUCGAACGCAUCGCAAGAUGAGUGGCAGACGGGUGAGUAACGCGUGGGAACGUACCCUUUACUACGGAAUAACGCAUGGAAACGUGUGCUAAUACCGUAUGUGCCCCCCUUUGAUAGACAUUGGGGGGGAAAGAUUUAUCGGUUCUGGAUGAGCCCGCGUUGGAUUAGCUUGUUGGUGAGGUAACGGCUGCCCAAGGCGACGAUCCAUAGCUGGUCUGAGAGGAUGAUCAGCCACACUGGGACUGAGACACGGACCAGACUGCUACGGGAGGCAGCAGUGGGGAAUAUUGGACAAUGGGCGAAAGCCUGAUCCAGCCAUGCCGCGUGAGUGAUGAAGGCCUUAGGGUUGUAAAGCUCUUUUACCAGGGAUGAUAAUGACAGUACCUGGGGAAUAAGCUCCGGCUAACUCCGUGCCAGCCGCCGCCGUAACAC